ensembl:lncRNA
GCCGAUGCCUAAAAGAGGAGGUCGACUGGUGGGGACGCCGGCCCCGGCAAGAACGCAGGGAUGAGGAAAAGGAGGCGGGCCGGAAGGGAGAAAGGGGAUUGCGGCUUCCCACCGUUCUGCAGGAUCGUGAGAAAGGCGGCGAGGAUCGAGCCCAGCCGGGCCAGAGUGGGCUAAUUGAUCUAACCCGUUCCUACGGGGGGGGGUGGGGGGGGGGUCGGCAGGGGAGGGAUUUACCUCACCCGUAAUUAGGGAGGAUUUCUGACAGCAUGGCGGCUCACCGGGCCGAGAGCCCCAGCAGACGGAUCAAAUCCCCAAAUCACACUUUGUGUUUUUGUAAGCCGUCAAAAUCGGGACCUUGUGAGACUUUGAGUUUCUGAUUCCACAGAGAGAUCGAUUUAUAAUCCCCCGACUCGUACAGUGGUCCAUUUCCAGCAUAGCGCCGCAUUUACAUACAAGCUACUUCACCGCUACCAAUCGCCUCUAAAAGCGUCUCCAGAAUCAGCCGGAGUGUAACAUCCGGGGGAAGCACACGGAGGCACAGACUUCCUGCACUUGUUUGGAACAUUUGGAUCCAAACGGAGCUCGAGGAGGCGGAUCUGAGCGCCGUGAACUGGCUCCCUGAAGCCUCUUCUAUUUCAGGCCGAGAUAACCUGGUGGGUGGGGAGAGCGACCCGAGAGGGAAACGGUUCUGGGUAGAAUCCAGCAUCACUUCAGCUGCUGAUGGAAAUAGUGGAGACACCAAAGCACUUGUGCACAGGCAGGAGAGUCCACGCGCUUCAGCGUGUUUCACGCCGUUUCAUCAUGAAGGCUCAUGGUUGACCUUGGAAACAGCACAAGGUCACGAGGUCACAGAGGGGAACUCCAAUCAUCAAGUGAGGCGACCUUCCCUUCCGCCGACCUCCGAUGCUCCGUCUAAGUCUCUAAGUCGCUGAUAUCGCCUGAUCCGUGCACAGUGUGUGUGUGUGUGUGUGCGUGUGUGUGUGUAGAAGCACAAGGGGGGGGGGGGGGGGCUUGGCGGCUGCGAUCGAGUGUUGCCGCAGAGCCAAAUCGCCGUUACGCCGCUCCGUAAAUAAGACGGCGCCCGGUGCCAAGCGAGCGGCGUGGACGCGUGGGAGACGAAUGGCUGACAGUUAGCCGUGGCACGCGGGCCCGUCUGUCAGCGCCGUCGGCGGGUAAAUGGCACUUUGGGACAUCUGGGUCGGGCCCAGACGUCCUCUGCACGCCGCCCGCCUGCUGCUGUGGAAUUAUGGGUACUCCGGUUGGAGUGCGUGCGCGUCGGCUUCACCGCCUCAAGCGACACUUCCUGUUUGCUGAAAUGAAUCAAACGCGCCUCACAUCGGGGAAGUGUCAUCGGCUGAUCGGCGUCAUUGUUUGUAACGCGCGGCGUCCAGCGAGUCAGGACACGAGACGCUCGUCCUCCUUCCGUCUCUCCGCAUAUUAAACAUAUUCACGUGAAAAGGACUUUUGUCUCCGUACGCUGGAACGCCGCGUCGAGACAGAAAGGACGAGCGGCUCCGCUCACGUCGACGCGACCUUCGACCCCAUGCCGCAGCUUCACGAAGACGCUAAAGAACAUUCCAACCGGUCCGUCUAGAUUGAACGACCUCUGACCCUGCAGCUCGCCGGCAACUGGGAUGAAAAAAAGCCCAACUGCGAUGACCUUUGACCCGCCUCAUGUCGACGCCACAGUCGGCAUCGACGCCUCGGACUGAUUCUCUUCGUUUUGUCCUCUGCGGCUUCCGAAGGCGACGACAGUCGCUGAAAGGCUCCGACGAACGACUCGUGUUACGUUUGUUCGUCUCGAUCUACGUGCGUGUUUUUUGUUAAACGUUCCAGCCGGUUUUCCUCGCGUGGCGUCUCCGUCGAAGCUGCUGAGGCCUGAAAGCAUCAAACGAGUCGACUUCCUGUUGGCUGUUUAUUGUUUUAUUAUUUAUCAGACGUUUAUCUGUUAAAAUAAAAUACCAAUGUGGGUAUUUUAUCAAUGAAAGUCUUUUUUUAACAUCACUUAAACCCACUUUCAGUGUCUCUUAAAUAAAUAAAGUCUCUGUGCGGCAUCGUAAUGGCGUCUUGUGCGCUCGUGGAUGAAACCCGGGGGGGUCGGCCGUUUUUUUAUAUUUUAUUCCCCUCCGUCAACCGUCCUCUCUCGUCUACGGAGGACGAGGAGCGAGCGUUUCUCCAGGCUUCCUCAGGACGUCCAGUCGACCCAACAAAACAAAAGACGGUGAACUUCCUGUCAGCGGGGACGGACUUCCUGUCAGCGGGGACGCGAUGCCAAUCCGUCUUCUCGCCAGGUGAAGACGGAUUGUCCCUUAUGGGACGGACUCUGAGAACAACCUCCGGGUGUUUUGACACCUCUUCCUCUUCUCACAUCCUCGUCCUCACUCCGCCUCCCGUUGUUCGGCGAUGACGAGAUCCGCGUGACGACGGGCUGAAGGUCCCAUCUGGAGCACAUCCAUCUUCAGCGCUCCCCAACGGAGAGGAACUCCAUCAUCUCAAGGUGACUUCAUGUUUCUUUACUACAUUGCAGCACUUGGGAGGAAUAAACGCCACCGAUCCUUCCAGAUUGUUCCUACUGCUCCUCAACGUUUGUGAGCUGUAACACAAGAAAUGAGCAAAGUGGAGAGAAGUUCCUCCAUGAGCUGUGAGCAGAAUCUCCUGCCGCUUACUCGUCGUUUCAUGCUUCACAACAUUAACUGACUUUUCUUCUAAUUCCUUCUUGAGUGUCUUCACCUCACUUUUUUUUAGGCAGAUGCUCUCGUCAUCAACCAGCAGAACUUCCUCUUAAAGCCUCAACAAAAAGGAAUGAAUGGAUUUGCGCCACGUUGGCUCGUAGCUGGAAGUCAGUCUCUUAUUUUCCAUCCGUGCUUCUAUUGUCGGCCUCCGUGUUCUGAUGCCACUAGCAAAACAAAAACCACCCUCACUGGACCCGAGUCGGUCUCCGAGAGCAACAUCGAGGCUGUUUUGUCUCUGGAUGAAAACCACGCGCACACAGACGCGGGAAGUCUUCCAGGAGGAAGCGUGGAGGCGCUGCGGGGUCACCGGAGGUCACGGCCACCUGGGAGGCGUCCAUUGUGUGACUGAUGUUUCCCUGCAAACAGGAGCCGCUUACAUGGAGGCUGUUAUUCCAACUGCUGUCAUGGAAACCAACCAGCUGGAGGUCUCCAGAGAGUGUGUGUGUGUGUGUGUGUGUGUGUGCGCGUGUGUGUGUGUGUAAAUGGGGGUUUUACUUGAAGCUGCAGAGCACCGUUUCCCCUUUUGGCAAUAAGCAAGAAAGACCCCGAGUGUCUUUUUCUUUUUUCUUACGCUCACUGAAGGUUUAUAGUCAUUUAUACGCCGGGUGUGUCGUGGCUCCCGGCUGCUUCUAACCCGUUUAAACCCCCCAGUUAUUUUAUUUAUUUAUUCAUCGGUGGGGAAAAAACAACUUUAGUUUUUCCUUCCAAAUAGACGAGAUGCAUGAAAACAGGUCAGAUGGCUGCUGCAGUGUCUGUUUGGGGCUUGUUGGCAGGACGUCCAGUCUGGAGCUCCUAAUCGGCUGUUCACAAAACAAGUCAAAAUGGACCCUUGUUAGGCUGAGUGGGUAUUUUUAAACCCCAUUUCCUCAUGUUUGUGAGCGACGACCAAUCGACUAAAGGGGAAAACAGCUCCUCCAUGUCGCCUCGGGGCCACUGAAGAGCUACAGCGGGAGGAGAGAGGAGGAGGGAGGAGGAGAGAGGAGGAGGGAGGAGGAGAGCUGGUGUCAUCGGGAGGCCUCAGUGUUGAUCACUAUCUCCGUCUUUGUCAUUUAAUGCGGCGAGAAGAAGAAGAGCUGCUGAUCAUGGAGACGUUUUUUUUUAAUCCUCCGUCCGCAGAGGUGAUGUCAUCGUCUGCACUUUAUUCUGUCGGCUCGUGCUUUUUACAGGGUCGAAGCUGUACAUCACAGACCGAGCCGUGACUCCCCCACUGUCACCCCUCCACCUCCCACAGGUCCAUCGGGGAGGACCAGGAGAAACACCCGAGGCUGUCACUGUUUCAUCUUCGUUAAAUCUGUCCGUCCACAGUGCAGUCAGAGGGUCUUUACAGCGUCAGCGUCUCCGUCUGCAAAGGAAUCAAUGUGCAGCAACUCGUAGAUUUCGAGAGCCAAAAUAUGCUGAACGACCUUCUCAGUCAAAUCAUCUUCAUCUGUUCAUAUUUCUGUCCACCCGAUAAAUGCCAAUAUUGUCUGAUUUUUUUGCCCGUUUUUGGUCUCCUCCUCGUGAGCGAGACGUCUGCUCCACUUUGUUUCUCUGUCCGAGCAGGUGAUGUUCAGGGGCUCGAUCAUGUUAGCUGGAAACCUCUUAUUCAAACCGAUUACUUCCUGGACAGAAAAUGAAUUAUAAACUGCAGCUCUGGGAGAAAGACGGUUCAACCUUCAGCAGCUCAUUUCAGUCAUGCUUCUGUCAUUUUCAGUGAGCUUUUCAUUUCAUCAGCUCAUAAUGAGGUCAAUGCAACAAGUACCGUAGCUCCAUCUCAGCUGAAUGUUUAAUCUCAUCCACCUAAACGCAUCCAAAAUAAAACGAUUGCAAGUAUUGAACAUGCAAAUAUUGUAUAUUAAAGCCUUUUUACUAAAUAAAAGCUGAGGUUAAAGUAUCUUGAAGCUGCAUUCUGUGUAGUGACCAGCAGGGGGCGACUCCUCUGCUCCCAUAGACGUCUAUGAGGAAAUGACUCUACUUCUCUGUAGUGACCAGCAGGGGGCGACUCC